GUGUGCAUAGCUCAGCUGGAUAGAGCAUCCCGAUUUUUAAUCGGGACGGUCGAAGGUUCGAAUCCUUCUGCGUUCACGA
rnacentral:tRNA from 1 species